GAGAUGUGUGAUGACGCAUAUCAAUAAGCGGAGGAAAAGAAACUAACUAGGAUUCCCUUAGUAACGGCGAGUGAAGCGGGAAGAGCUCAAAUUUGAAAUCUUCAAGGUUCUACCUUGACGAAUUGUAGUUUAUAGAAGUGUUUUCUGUUAGUAGAGUGGCAAAAGUUCUUUGGAAUAGGACAUCAUAGAGGGUGAGAAUCCCGUAUUUGGUCAUUCUUUCUAGCUUUGUGAUACACUUUCAACGAGUCGGAUUGUUUGGGAAUGCAGUCCAAAAUGGGUGGUAAAUUUCAUCUAAAGCUAAAUAUUGGCGAGAGACCGAUAGCGAACAAGUACCGUGAGGGAAAGAUGAAAAGAACUUUGAAAAGAGAGUUAAACAGUACGUGAAAUUGUCAAAAGGGAAGCGUUUGACACCAGUGUUGUUUUUCCGAAAAUCAAUUACGAAUGUUUUAUUUUUGAGGAGUUAUGACUUCAUCGGCUUGCUCCUUUCUUUAUGAAACUUUCUUAAUGCACUUUUCGGUUAACAAGUCAACAUCAAUUUCUUUUGUUGUAAAAGGGUAUGAGGAAGGUGGCUUUCUUUUCGGAGAAAGUGUUUAUAGCCUUGUGCCUCUGCAAUCGGAGAGAUUGAGGUCUGCAGCGUAGAUCCUUCGGGGUUAGAUAGCAUUUGUGCUAGGUUAUAGCCUUUUCAUAGACAACUUGUUGACUAUGAUCAGUCAUGUAGCUUACUCGCUUAUGUCUAUUUUACCUACGCUUAGGAUGUUGAGUCGUAGAGCACGCAG
rnacentral:rRNA from 1 species